GGUUAAGCGACUAAGCGUACACGGUGGAUGCCCUGGCAGUCAGAGGCGAUGAAGGACGUGCUAAUCUGCGAAAAGCGUCGGUAAGGUGAUAUGAACCGUUAUAACCGGCGAUGUCCGAAUGGGGAAACCCAGUGCAAUUCGUUGCACUAUCGUUAACUGAAUACAUAGGUUAACGAGGCGAACCGGGGGAACUGAAACAUCUAAGUACCCCGAGGAAAAGAAAUCAACCGAGAUUCCCCCAGUAGCGGCGAGCGAACGGGGAGCAGCCCAGAGUCUGAAUCAGCUUGUGUGUUAGUGGAACGGUCUGGAAAGUCCGACGGUACAGGGUGAUAGUCCCGUACACCAAAAUGCACAGGCUGUGAACUCGAAGAGUAGGGCGGGACACGUGGUAUCCUGUCUGAAUAUGGGGGGACCAUCCUCCAAGGCUAAAUACUCCUGACUGACCGAUAGUGAACCAGUACCGUGAGGGAAAGGCGAAAAGAACCCCGGCGAGGGGAGUGAAAAAGAACCUGAAACCGUGUACGUACAAGCAGUGGGAGCACCUUCGGGUGUGACUGCGUACCUUUUGUAUAAUGGGUCAGCGACUUAUAUUCUGUAGCAAGGUUAACCGUAUAGGGGAGCCGCAGGGAA
rnacentral:rRNA from 1 species